AUCUUGUUCUUUCCAAGCUGUAUACUAAUUAUAUGAAUGUUAGGCGCGCGAUUAAAGAGCCUGAUAUAAGAGUGCGCACUUUUCAAGACAUGUCAGUUUCCGUGCUCUGAGUCUGACCAGUGUAUUGAAAUAUUAAAAUGUGUAGAUUGUUUAGAUCAGACAAAGUGAAAAAUAUAAAACCAGCUGAAUACAGUUCGAAGAAGGAAUAACAAUGGAUAUAGGAAGGGAUGUAAUAACUAAGGCGAUUGCUAGUACUGAAGCUGAAAGUGUAUUUCAGCCCUGGUGGGUCACUGUACAACAUUAUAUGGUGUACACACUUUUAGCACUAGGUCUGAUCGCUCUGCCUGUAAACUGUAUGCUUGGUAACCUUGG